GCCUUCGUGGUGUAAUGGUAGCACACUCAGCGCGUACUCGAGACGUCCAGGUUCGAUUUCCGGCGAAGGCA
rnacentral:tRNA from 1 species